rnacentral:rRNA from 1 species
UACGGGGGGGGCAAGCGUUGUUCGGAAUUACUGGGCGUAAAGGGCUCGUAGGUGGCCGACUAAGUCAGACGUGAAAUCCCUCGGCUUAACCGGGGAACUGCGUCUGAUACUGGACGGCUUGAGUUCGGGAGAGGGAUGCGGAAUUCCAGGUGUAGCGGUGAAAUGCGUAGAUAUCUGGAGGAACACCGGUGGCGAAGGCGGCAUCCUGGACCGACACUGACACUGAGGAGCGAAAGCCAGGGGAGCAAACGGG